AUCUACAGCCACACUGCCCUGGAUGCACCCAAUCUCAUUUGAUCUCAGAAGUUAAGCGGAGUCAGGCCUGGUUAGCCCUUGGAUGAGAAAAUU
rnacentral:rRNA from 1 species